rnacentral:rRNA from 1 species
CAGCCGCCGCGGGAAUACGAAGGGGGCUAGCGUUGCUCGGAAUUACUGGGCGUAAAGGGAGCGUAGGCGGACAUUUAAGUCAGGGGUGAAAUCCCGGGGCUCAACCUCGGAAUUGCCUUUGAUACUGGGUGUCUUGAGUAUGAGAGAGGUAUGUGGAACUCCGAGUGUAGAGGUGAAAUUCGUAGAUAUUCGGAAGAACACCAGUGGCGAAGGCGACAUACUGGCUCAUUACUGACGCUGAGGCUCGAAAGCGUGGGUAGCAAACAGGAUUAGAUACCCCAGUAGUCCCUGUCUCUUAUAC